AAGUCACAUGACUAAUGAGUGGCAGAGCUGGGAUUCAGAACUAUGUUCUCAAACACUAUAUUACUUCACUUAAGAGCAGCAGGGGUGAGCGGCACUCCAAGGCCGGCUGAUUCAGAAGUUGCACGAUGUCAUCAAGGACUCACGUUCUUUACAUCUCUCCACCGUGCGUCCUCAGUGAAUCAGUCCUGCCCUCUGGCCGGCUCCUCUCGCGGUGUCAAGACGGCAGCAACAAUUCCGGGCAUCACAUCCAGACACAACAGUGUCCAGAGGAGGAAAGGGAACAUGGAGUGGAGGCUAAGAGCAUCAUCUCUGGAGCCAAACAGCUUUACUUCCCAGGUGAAGAAGAAAAAUUUUUGCUCUGCCAGUGGUUAAAAACCUGGGCUGGA
rnacentral:lncRNA from 1 species